GACGAACGCUGGCGGCGUGCUUAACACAUGCAAGUCGAACGGAAAGGCCCUGCUUUUGUGCGGUGCUCGAGUGGCGAACGGGUGAGUAACACGUGAGUAACCUGCCCUUGACUUUGGGAUAACUUCAGGAAACUGGGGCUAAUAUCGGAUAGGAGCUCCUGCUGCAUGGUGGGGGUUGGAAAGUUUCGGCGGUUGUGGAUGGACUCGCGGCUUAUGAGCUAGUUGGUGGGGUAGUGGUUGACCAAGUGUUUGACGGAUAGCCGGCCCGAGAGGGUGACCGGGGACCUGAGGACUGAGGGACGGAGCAGACGCCAAUGGUAGGCAGUAGGGGGAAGUAUUGCACAGCGGGCCGGAGCCGGUUGAAGCAGCGCCGGGGGCGGAAUGACGGCCUUCUGGUAAAGAACCGCUGUCGCCUGUGACGAAGCGUGAGUGACGGUAAUGAAUAAAGAAGCACCGGCUAACUACGUG
rnacentral:rRNA from 1 species